CGUAACAAGGUCUCCGUAGGUGAACCUGCGGNGGGAUCAUUACACAAAUAUGAAGGCGGGCUGGAACCUCUCGGGGUUACAGCCUUGCUGAAUUAUUCACCCUUGUCUUUUGCGUACUUCUUGUUUCCUUGGUGGGUUCGCCCACCACUAGGACAAACAUAAACCUUCUGUAAUUGCAAUCAGCGUCAGUAACAAAUUAAUAAUUACAACUUUCAACAACGGAUCUCUUGGUUCUGGCAUCGAUGAAGAACGCAGCGAAAUGCGAUAAGUAGUGUGAAUUGCAGAAUUCAGUGAAUCAUCGAAUCUUUGAACGCACAUUGCGCCCUUUGGUAUUCCAAAGGGCAUGCCUGUUCGAGCGUCAUUUGUACCCUCAAGCUUUGCUUGGUGUUGGGCGUCUUGUCUCUAGCUUUGCUGGAGACUCGCCUUAAAGUAAUUGGCAGCCGGCCUACUGGUUUCGGAGCGCAGCACAAGUCGCACUCUCUAUCAGCAAAGGUCUAGCAUCCAUUAAGCCUUUUUUUCAACUUUUGACCUCGGAUCAGGUAGGGAUACCCGCUGAACUUAAGCAUAUCA
rnacentral:rRNA from 1 species